GUUAGGCUGGGAGCUGGGCGGUAUUCUCACGAACUGUGCGCUCAGCCCCCAGCUAUCUACCGAACGUCCAUUCGUUUAAAUGAAGUGAAUAUAAUGGAAGUUAUGUGGUUUAAUGUAAAAUGUAAGUUCUGCUGCACAGAGGGAUAAUCCACUUAACGGUAUAUUCUAGUGGGAGUAUCCCUCUCGUGCAGCAGUGCAUGGUGGGA